rnacentral:rRNA from 1 species
UACGUAGGGCGCGAGCGUUGUCCGGAAUGACUGGGCGUAAAGAAUGCGUAGGCGGAUAUUUAAGUCAGAUGUGAAAUCCCCGAGCUUAACUUGGGGGCUGCAUUUGAAACUGGAUAUCUAGAGUGCGGGAGAGGUAAGUGGAAUUCCUAGUGUAGCGGUGAAAUGCGUAGAGAUUAGGAAGAACACCAGUGGCGAAGGCGACUUACUGGACCGUAACUGACGCUGAGGCAUGAAAGCGUGGGGAGCAAACAGG